UACGGAGGGUGCAAGCGUUAUCCGGAUUCACUGGGUUUAAAGGGUGCGUAGGCGGCUUGAUAAGUCAUUGGUGAAAGCUCGCGGCUCAACCGCGAAAACUGCCAAUGAAACUGCCAAGCUUGAAUCUGGUUGAAGUGGGCGGAAUACAACAUGUAGCGGUGAAAUGCUUAGAUAUGUUGUAGAACACCGAUUGCGAAGGCAGCUCACUAAGCCAACAUUGACGCUGAGGCACGAAAGCGUGGGUAGC
rnacentral:rRNA from 1 species